rnacentral:rRNA from 1 species
GACGAACGCUGGCGGCGUGCCUAAUACAUGCAAGUCGAACGCAGUGGGGACGGGUGAGUAACACGUGGGUAACCUCCCAUCAGAGGGGAUAACACUUGGAAACAGGUGCUAAACCGAUAUUGGUGUAUGGACCCGCGGUGCAUUAGCUAUUUGGUGAGGUAACGGCUCACCAAGGCUACGAUGCAUAGCCGACCGGAGAGGGUGAGCGGCCAAACUGGGACUGAGACACGGCCCAGACUCCUACGGGAGGCAGCAGUGGGGAAUAUUCGGCAAUGGACGAAAGUCUGACCGAGCAACGCCGCGUGAGUGAAGAAGGUUUUCGGAUCGUAAAACUCUUUUGUUAGAGAAGCGGUAUCUAACCAGAAAGCCACGGCUAACUACGUGCCAGCAGCCGCGGUAAUUC